UGCCAGCAGCCGCGGUAAUACAGAGGGUGCGAGCGUUAAUCGGAAUUACUGGGCGUAAAGCGCGCGUAGGUUGAUUGGUCAGUCAGAUGUGAAAGCCCCGGGCUCAACCUGGGAACUGCACCUGAUACUGCCAGUCUUGAGUACAGUAGAGGGCAGUGGAAUUUCCUGUGUAGCGGUGAAAUGCGUAGAUAUAGGGAGGAACACCAGUGGCGAAGGCGACUGCCUGGACUGAUACUGACGCUGAGACGCGAAAGCGUGGGGAGCAAACAGGAUUAGAUA
rnacentral:rRNA from 1 species